rnacentral:piRNA from 1 species
CAGCCUGGACUGCAUGCUGAGGC